rnacentral:rRNA from 1 species
AUUUUGUCUUUUGCGAUACACUUUCAAAGAGUCAGGUUGUUUGGGAAUGCAGCCUAAAUUGGGUGGUAAAUCUCACCUAAAGCUAAAUAUUGGCGAGAAACCGAUAGCGAACAAGUACCGUGAGGGAAAGAUGAAAAGAACUUUGAAAAGAGAGUUAAACAGUAUGUGAAAUUGUUAAAAGGGAACCGUUUGGAGCCAGACUGGCUUGUCUGUAAUCAAUCUAGGUUUCGUGCCUGGAUGCACUUGCAGACUAUUUGCCUGCCAACGACAAUUUUUUUUGAGUGUAAAAACUAUUGGAAAUGUGGCCAAUAUUUAUUUAUUGGUGUUAUAGUCCUUUAGAAAAUACCUUGAAUUGGAUUGAGGAACGCAGCGAAUGCUUCUCUUUUGAGGCAAAGUCUUUUAUUGGGAUUUACGGAUCAGACUGUGGCAUUGUCACAAGACUUGAAGUUUAAACC